UUGCCCACCACUGACAGGGGACCUGAGGGGAAUUCAGGAGCAAGAAAAACAGGAAGCAUUCUAUGCUUUGGAUACUGGCCCCUAGAUAGUUAAGAUACACAUCUAAAGAAAAAUGUCUGCAACCCCCAGAUUCUUGCAUUUUCCCAUAUAUAGAAAAGCACUAAAAUCAUUAACUUGAGAUGGCUGUUCUUUGUGAACGGCAGUAAUCUUUGAUGUUCAACUAUAUUUGUGUGGUUUUUUUUUUUCCCCAGCAAAAAAUUCAUGUAUUUCUUGGCUCCUCCCUUGCUUCCUGGCAACAAUUUCUCAAAGCUCUCUGUCUCCUGGCCUAAAAUCCCCAGUAAGACACUGAAUAAACUCAGCUCACACAUCUUACACUGUGGGUCUUUCUUAAAGUCCACAUCAUAUACAGGUUACAAAACAUUCCCCAAAAUAAUGAUUGUUUUGGACCAAAGAAUUUAGAAAUUUAGCUAAAGAUUAUGUAGAAAAUAAGGAAAGUAAGAGUCCCAUUCAACUACAAACACAGGCUGAAGUGCUUUCAUUAUUACAGAAAACAAUAAACUUUCCUUAUUAAGUUGGGAGAAAAAGGAAAUUAAUUCCCAAGGAAAACACAUAAAGGAAGUAAUGAUAACCAGAUUAUUGUGCCUGUGUGUUUUCUGUUCCCUCUUCCAGUAAAUCAAACCCAGAGUGUGUGAGUGCUCCGUUGUGUCCGACUCUUUGUAACCCCAUGGACUGUAUAGCCUGCCAGGCUCCUGUCCAUUGAAUUCUCCAGGCAAGAAUACUGGAGUGGGUUGCUAUUUCCUCCUCCAGAGCAUCUUCCCCAUCCAGGGAUCUAACCAGCAUUCCGAUUCUUUACCUGGUGAGCUACCUGGGAAGCCCAAAUCAAACCCAGAUUGCAAGGACAUAUUUUUACUGUCCAAUUGUGAUUAAUGUGCCUGCCUCACAGUUUGAUCUCAGUACUUAGAAGUACUUUCAGCUUUCCCAAAGUUAGACCUCUCCUUUCGGCCUCCGAAGUAGGCUACUUCUAUUUUAGCAUUUAUUAAAGUAAUAUAAUCACAUAAGCCUUCCGCAUCGCACCAGUACUUCAAACACAUGUAUUUGUUUACCACUUAGAAUGUGUCAGUUGAUUGACAUUAAUGUAAUCCUUUACACCACUGUUAUUUUGGAUUUCUCUGUUUUUCACAAAUCGAGGCUCAGAAAGGCUAAAUGAUCAAGGUCAAAAAGCGAAUUCAUCACAAAGUCUGGAUUUGGUUGCACAUCGACCUGCUUUCAAAUGCAAGCUUUUUCUGCCAGAACAGGUUACUUUAAAUUCAGGGGCAAGACUAGUUUGUCACCUCAGCUCGUAGCUUAACUCGUGGAACAGAAUAUCUAACAGGUUAGGCAUUACUUGCGCCCUACUGUCUGUUAGGUUCCGUUUUGUGUACCAUAGAGAGAUACACCACUCCCAAGCCGGUGACCUAGGUGAGGAAAGAAAUCAGAAUUUAGGACACUGCGCGACACAGCCUUCACUUAACGCCCAUCUCUAUGGUUGGCAUGUAACCACUCUAUACUCUGGAGGACUCAGCGAACCCGGCCAAUCAGUGAGCCAGUUUACAGUCACGUGGCAGAAAGUUUAACUUGCAAUUGGUCAAUAGUGGUAAGGCCCGCCCAACUACAUCCGGUCUGCUUCUUUAAGUAGAAACCAGGCCAGUUUCCUUUCCUUUCAGCAGCUGAAGAGCUGGGCAGAUGGCUCGGAGAAGGACGUCGGAUGUCAUUGUCCUCCCAGCUUUUCAGUCUUCCCCCGAAGCCCCUCAAUAAAAUGGUUUGAUUCCGGU